UAGGGGAUAUUGGACAAUGGGGGCAACCCUGAUCCAGCCAUGCCGCGUGAGUGAAGAAGGCCCUCGGGUUGUAAAGCUCUUUUGUCCGGAAAGAAAAGCAUUCGGUGAAUACCCGGAUGUUCUGACGGUACCGGAAGAAUAAGCACCGGCUAACUUCGUGCCAGCAGCCGCGGUAAUACGAAGGGUGCAAGCGUUACUCGGAAUUACUGGGCGUAAAGCGUGCGUAGGUGGUUGUUUAAGUCUGAUGUGAAAGCCCUGGGCUCAACCUGGGAAUGGCAUUGGAAACUGGGCAGCUAGAGUGCGGUAGAGGGUAGUGGAAUUCCCGGUGUAGCAGUGAAAUGCGUAGAGAUCGGGAGGAACGUCUGUGGCGAAGGCGACUGCCUGGACCAGCACUGACACUGAGGCACGAAAGCGUGGGGAGCAAACA
rnacentral:rRNA from 1 species